UGACUGUGUGUGUAGGUACCAGUAUCCCAGCAUGGAUGAGCUGGCUGAGAUGCUGCCAUCUGUCAUGACCCAGCUUCACAUAAAGAGCGUGAUUGGUAUCGGCGUUGGAGCCGGAGCAUACGUCCUCACCAAACUGGCACUGAAUGAGCCCAGUUUGGUGGAGGGUUUAGUUCUGAUUAACGUUGACCCGUGUGCCAAGGGUUGGAUCGACUGGGCUGCCUCCAAGGUAAC